rnacentral:rRNA from 1 species
UACGUAGGGGGCUAGCGUUGUCCGGAAUCAUUGGGCGUAAAGAGCGUGUAGGCGGUCCGGUAAGUCCGCUGUGAAAGCCGGGGGCUCAACCCUCGAAUGCCGGUGGAUACUGUCGGGCUAGAGUGCGGAAGAGGCGAGUGGAAUUCCUGGUGUAGCGGUGAAAUGCGCAGAUAUCAGGAGGAACACCAAUUGCGAAGGCAGCUCGCUGGGACGUAACUGACGCUGAGACGCGAAAGCGUGGGGAGCAAACAGG